rnacentral:rRNA from 1 species
UACAGAGGGUGCGAGCGUUAAUCGGAAUUACUGGGCGUAAAGGGCGCGUAGGCGGUUAAAUAAGUUGGAUGUGAAAUCCCUGGGCUUAACCUAGGAACUGCAUACAAUACUGUUUAACUGGAGUGCUGUAGAGGGUAGUGGAAUUUCCGGUGUAGCGGUGAAAUGCGUAGAUAUCGGAAGGAACACCAGUGGCGAAGGCGGCUACCUGGACAGACACUGACGCUGAGGCGCGAGAGCGUGGGGAGCAAACAGG